GGCUGGUCUGAUGGCAGUGGGUUAUCAGAACUUAUUGACAUGAGUGUCACUGAAGUUGGUAUACCAUCCCCCCACUGCUAAAUUUGACUGGCUUUAA
ensembl:misc_RNA Y_RNA Y RNA